UAGAACCUCCCAUGAUGCCUAAUAUCGAGAGUUCACCGGCGGGUCAAGGUAGAUAUCGCUAUCUGAUUUGACCAUUUUAUGUUAAUAAUCUGCUCUUACGCGCUUAGUUUAUGUGAUGAAGUGGAAUAGGGUGGGAACGGAAUAGUUUAUUAUCUCGUGCUUAGUUUAUGUGAUUAACUGAUUCGACUCAUGUUCUGUUUAUACCGGGUCCGACUACAGAUGGAGAAGUGUUAUUCCCCUCAAAAGGCUUGUUGCUUGUGGCCCAUGAACCG
rnacentral:lncRNA from 1 species